AACCAAUGUGUGUGGCAUCCAUAGCGAAAGGAAGCACCUUUGAACAACUCUUGGAGCUUUCAAAACCCAGGCUAAGAAAUUUAAACUUUGUAACUAAAUAUUGACUGUAGUGAAGACUAAUUACUCAAGUUGAAAAACUAUAACACCCUUUGACUGGUAUAUUUCGGAGACUCCUAAUUAUUUGCCACAAAACAAGACCUCAAACCUAUUAAAU
rnacentral:misc_RNA from 1 species